AUGAAGACCUCACAUGUAAGAAAAUUAAGCUAAGCCGUUCGAAGUUGCAAAAUCCCGAUUCCAAUUAUGUCAAGUUUCAAGCAAGUGUAUUGUGGGAUGGAUUUGGGAUUUUGGUGGAGAUGAGUCAUUUUUGGUUAAGGGUAUUUAAAGGCAUAUAGACAAAUCAUAUGUUGUUACCAUUCAGGAAUAUGGAGACAGGUGAAAAUUGACACUCCCGAUUAAAGUUAACAUUUUGGGUUGUCGGAUAUUGAUGAAUUGGUAGCCCAGUAUACCAAAUUUAAUGGAAAGGGGUAUUGACGUUCCAGUUAAGUAUGUUAUCUCCGAUUUGUGAGUUGUCAGAAGAAGAUGUUGGCUCUUUUAUUCGGGUUAUGUGAUGUAGCGAGUAAUGUGUGGGACUCGAUUUUUAAGCGGUUGCAAGUGGUGCCCCCUUUCUUUUUUAAGCCAUUGGAGAUCAUUACGUGGUGAGAUUCGAGUGGUUUGCAUAAAUGGAGGAAGCUUUUGGCUCAUGGCAGUAUUCUUACUACGUGGUCGUGGUGGAUUAUUUGGAGGUUUCAUAAUGACAUUUUUUUGUACCGUAAGGAGCAUCAGAAAUGAAACAUUUUUCAUAAUAUUGUUAAUUUUAUCUAUAUGUGAAUUGUUCUAGAAGUAGAAAAUUAAUGUCACUUGGAUGGGUUGGUUGCAAAACCCACUCUCAUUUGUGUAAUGUUUUGUUUUCUAGGCUAGCUUUUAUAACAUUUUGUUGUUUGAAAAAAAUUAAAUAUAUGUAAUCUAA
rnacentral:lncRNA from 1 species